ACACACACACACACACACACACACACACACACACACACACACACACACACACACACACACACACACACACACACACACACACACACACACACACAGAGUUGGGAGGAACAAUACUUCUGAUUCGACCCUGCUGCCCCGACUACCGGCCAUUGGAAAGAGGGAGUGAAGGGAACGUCUGGGAGCGGCGCGGUCGGAAUACCUCGCCGGGCACGGAAAACAAUGCCGAUACUCCUGCAGCGAGGCAACAAACACCGCUCUGCCCUUUUGAUAAGGUUCUUUUUUUUUCUCUUCGCAGGAAGCCGAAUAAGGAAACGACCCGUUGGGAGUGAGAACGUGGAAAAGGCCGGAGUCUCAGAGACGACGACCACGACUGGUCGACGGGGUUUCGGAAUGAAAGAAAGAAAAGGCCAAUUUGAUGAGGCGACGAACAAAUGAUGGAUGAGAGCGAACGGAGGAAGCUGCUAAUCCAUGGAUUGGCUAAAGAGAGAGAGACAGAGAGGGAGAGAGAGAAAAUUCAAAACAAACAUUGCCCUAAGCUUUUGGAAAACUGCCGAUAUCCGCCGACAGGAAGCUUUUCAGUUCCAAGGCAAACAACGGAGUCGUCAAUCUACUUGAAGUGGCUCCCGAUCGAUCAGCUUCCUCGUCGCUGCUGCCGCCGAUCCUGGAAAACAGAUUGGAGGAAUGGUUCAAAUCGUGACGGGAGGUCGUUUGCAUUCAGCUGCUGCCGCUGGGGAACAUCUCACCUGUGAUUGUUCCAGCAGACAACGUGUCUGCUGUCGCUAGGGAGAUUUUAAACCACAUCUGGAUCCCGGAUACUGAACGGAAUAAGAAGAUUAGAUGCGACUGUUUGUACGUUGAAUCAAAUCAUUUUAAAAAAUUAAAAAAAUCUUUGUUUUUAUCAGUAAAUCUUGAUCUUUACCAGACAAACUGUACGUGCUGCCUUUAGGGAUGGAUCAGUAAAAUGGUCCGUUCAGAUAUCCAGGUUGAAAAUAUUCAGAUUUCCAGGUUGAAAAUAAUCUGAUUGCCAGGUUGACAUAAAUUCAGAUUUACAGGUUGAAAAUAUUCAGAUUUCACAUUGAAAAUAUUCAGGGGACGUCCUAAAAAGCUUAACGUGACUUAAUAUUGCUAAAGCAGCGAUCAAUAAUCACCAAAUUUCUCUCAGAUAUGCUUCGUCAUAAACACUUAAAAACCUGUAAAAAAAUCCAAACAGAUAUCCCAUAAUUAUUGAUGUUAUCUUACAGUAAGGCUUUUCCUUAUAACAGGCUUCCACUGGGAAAACACUGCAUGUAAAUGCAAUCCAUAAUUUCACAGGUGUGAGACGAAGCAUUCGCGUUCUACUAACGUCCCCGGAGUCCGAAUCAUUCCAGAUUUCCCAGUUUUCCUGGGAUCAGGCUGACGAGUGAUUCCAGCCUCUGGAGCAGAUGCAGCACGGUCGUCUGCUGAAUCACCGAUGAUGAAGUUGUUUUUCGCUCUUUACCGCGGUAACACUGACGGACAUGUGACAUGUGGCAGGACUUUUGCAUGAAAAAUGAAUUUAUAGGACAGCCCACAUGAAAGAGCAUUAAUAUUAAACCCAGUUUUUGGUUUUGAGGGACAAAAAGCCACCAGAUGGACGUUCCUGAGUGCGUCGGGGGGAUGAAGGCAAAAGCCUCUGUGACGGGAUGGACGUGGUGGAGCGAGUCAAAGGUCUGACACCUGUUGCGUUAAGUCAAACAAGGUGCCGGAGCGAGCAGCGGUGGGAUUAUCCCGACGCUCCGGGGACAAGGAGUGCACUCCGUCGCACCCAAUGACUUCUUUAAAGGGUGUUUCCACAUUGUCCCGGGAGGAAAAUCACAGGCAGCGGAAAACAAGGAGCUGGAGGAAAACCAAAUCUGAUUACACUUCUCUUUUCUCCUCCGUGAGGCUCCGGAGAUGAAGCGAUAAGUCGUCGCCGUCGUCACGGGCGGACGCUCUGACCUGAUCCUCACCCCGAGAUUCAUAUGGGACGGGGAAAUAUUCCAGAUCGAUCCCAGAGCUCGGAAUGUGACGCUCUGGAUCCAAUCGCGGCUCCUUCCACUUUCUUUAAUCAGGAGUUUGAUCAGGAUCGUUUGGAAAGAUUUGCUUUGAUUAACUACCAGGAAAAAAACCACAGGGAACUAUUUCAGUUAGAAACAGCAGGUUGGCUCACAGUUUUUACCGGUUUCCACCCCGCGUCUUCUCUUCUGUCUCUUUAUUGAAUCACAUUCUGGCUCUUCGACGUGAACAUUUUGCUGCUUUUGUCUGUUUUAGAUCAGAAUAAAUUGCAUGUUGGAUAUUGGACGUCAACCGCUCUCGACCUCCCCGUAAACCGAGUUGGGAGAGGGGUGAUGACUGUGGGAUGGCUCGUCAGACGUGGCUCACUGGGAGAGAUCUGGUUCUUAAAAUGUCAAAGGUCCAGUUUCUCUUUUCCUGAUUGCCAGAACUUGUGGACAAAACCGACAGCGGAUCGAAUGGCUUUGAGCAACGUGUUGCCAGUAGAGCAACAAAACCCGCCGCCCGGGAGAUUUUCUAUGGGGACAAAAAAGAAAAAAACUUGAAUUAUUAUCUGGUGUUGGUGGAUGAGUCAGAAUGACACAGUUCACACUGCGAUUCCUUUUUUGGGACCCUGGAGGUUCAUUAGCAAAAAACCAGGAGAGAGUUUUUCCUGAUUAACGUGUUUGGAUUCACUGAGCGGUCACAUGAGCGGCGGCGGCGGAGGUGAUGGUGACGAGCUGCGACCGGAGCUGUGGGAACGUUCACCCGGGAACCUCAGAGAUUAUAUGGCGAGAGGACGAGCUCUGACUCGACCCGACGGAGACGAUGCGUCGACCGCGCCGUUAAACCCCGCCCCCUCUCCCCCAUCAAACCAGCCCGGGGUCGUCUGGACCGGUCGUCCCUCAACGCGGACAGUGAAUCAUCACAAGUCGUCAUUUCUCUACGGAAUGUCGGGGAACGUUGAGGGAUUUGAAGUUGGCUUCUUCAAACGUCUUUAUUUUUCCUGAUUAACACAAAAAAUAUUCAGUUUAUAAUGAUGAGAAAUCUGACGUAAAAAAAUGACUGGCACAAUCAAUAGAUUAUCAAAAUAUUUGCCAAACAGCCUUACCGACAAUGGACGAGAUCCAUUAUGUGCCCGUCCUUUGUCGGAACAUUCAACUUGAGCAGAGAUGUCGGGAUUAGGUAUGGUUGCCAAAUUUUUUUUAUUUCUUUUGUAUAUAGGUCCAUAAAUGUAAAUGUUUUACUCCCUGAUAUCAGAAUUGUCAUUGCCCCACCAAAAAAAUAAAUAUCAAUAUUGGGAUCUAUCAGACAUUAACUUAUUAUUAUCUAUUAAUCAGUUGGUAUACAAACAUUUUAUUUGAAUUUUAUUUUACUUGUUUGUCACAUUAUUAUGAUCAGUGUAAGUGAAACAACACUGUAAAAUAAUCGUUGGUAAACCAAGAACGAUGAGCUGAAAGAUGCUAAAACAAAAUCAAAUCAAAUCAAAAUCAAUCUGAUUCAUGUAGAAUCACAGUUCUACAGACUUGGUCAUAUUUGGAAGAGGACCGACAGUUUUCCAUGUGAAGCCACAGAUUAAAAUCUGAGUCAUUUUUUAUUAUUCAUCAAUAUGCUGAUGACUUUCUUUCUCAUUCGUCUGUGAGCGCGACGUAUUCAGAUUGUUUUGUUUCAUCAAACCAACCAACCCUCCCUAGAAGGAGAAGCUGCAGAUAUUUCACUAAACAAAUCUAAUUAUUAAAUUUGAUUAUUUCCGGUUCAUUCCUCGACAAAUCAGCCGUUUUCUUUCAUGAUUAUUUGUGAUGUUUCCAGUUUUCCUGGUUUUCAGAUACUUAAAGUACUCUCGUACUUUAAAACAAAGAGAAUAUUGAAGUUUAAUUAAAAAACCAGGAACAGGCAGGAACAGAAAGCUGACAAGGAUCCAGGAAAAGACAAAACACUCGUUCAAGUCAGUGAAAUAAUUUAGUGGAACAAACAAUUUUUUUCUUUUACAUAAACAUAAAUUAAUCCACGUCAUGAUUCUCUCCUUCUUAUAUAUAUAUAUAUAUAUAUGUAUAUAUAUAUAUUUAUAUAUUUGUUUUUUUUAAACCUUCCACAGGAGCCGAGGAACGUUCACGUCCUUCCAUGAGGCAGCAUUGUCUAUGUGUUUUAUUUGGGAAUAUGACUGUCCGAUCGGAGACGACAGCCGCAGCGUUCCCAGGUGGGAGUUUACAACUGUCAAUCGUCUGACAACAAAAAGAAAAAGAAGAAGAAUCUGGAGAGUUCCCAGGCUUCCAUGAAGUCGUUAAGGAGUGUAAGUGUGUGUGUGCAUUAGAUCCACUUGUCACACUCUGGAAUCCUUCAGCCCGGAGCUACAGGAGGAGGAGGAGGGGGAGGGAAGAGGGGGGAGGGAGGCGUCGGAGCAUCCAUCAGCCCAGCUCGGAGCGCCGUGUCCGUGCUCGCUGGGGCGGCCGGAGGGCAGACAGGCACGGAGAUUCCCAACCCUCCCUUCAUCUCUUCCUCCUCCUCCUCCUCCCCUCCUCCACAACGGGAUUAUCUUUUCCCACCUCCUUUAAAAAAAAAAGAA